CGAAGGGGGGAGAGGGAUGUGGAUAUGUUUGUCUGAAGGUUUGAGACUGUGAUAAAGCUAUGUGAUCGGCGAUUAUAAUGAGCACGCAAUUUUUUAUCGGCUAUAUGUAGCUCUUGAACACCGGAACGUUUAUGUAACAGCAAUAAUUAUACGUCCACGUAACUCGUAAGCAAAAUAAGCGGCCCACUUUUGCAUGCAUGGCCACCAAAAACUAACUCGCUGUAACAGCGUAUCCUGCAUGUUGAGAAUGAGUCGAAAAUUGACACGCUUUAUUUAUAUAGUUUGCA